GCCACUGUGACCAGGAGCAGAUGGAGCAAGGCAAGCUCCCUUACUGAAGAAGCCCAUAGGAUAAACUUGAGGAAAAGGCUAAUAAAUUCAACCAAAUGGCUGGAGUUGGAGGGAGGAAGCAGGGAUGACCUUGUCUGAAAGAUGGUCUCAAACCCCUUCUCCUGCCUCUAUCCAAAGACAAGCCUUCACCUGAAAUAUGAAGUGAGGCUGAUGAGAAAGUCCAGUCUCUGCCUGUGUUUCACCAUCUCCAGUUUCAGAGGCAGCAGCUUCAAACUACUGCUGGAAAUCAGAGCCAACUAGGGCCCCAGGGGAAGAAGGAAAGAGAACACAGAUUCACCUGAAUGAAGGUCAGUGAUGGCUCCCCCUGAGUCUGGCAAUCUCUCCUGGACCUGAGGAGACCACCUGGUCCCUCAGAUCCCCCUGCAGGGGCAGGAAUGUCUGAGCCAGGGCAUUGUUUCUGUGGAAUCUUCCCACCAAUGAAUCUCCCAGCAGGACCAACUGUUUGGCUGUAUUUAAACUGUCAUUUAGCCAAGGCAGUUUGCUGGCACACCCAACUUCAACCCAGCAAGCACAACAGGUCUGCAGCUCGCGCCAAAGCUUGUUUAAACAUCAUUUGAACCAAACAGCCAGUCAAUUUA
rnacentral:lncRNA from 10 species